rnacentral:rRNA from 1 species
UACGUAGGGUGCGAGCGUUAAUCGGAAUUACUGGGCGUAAAGCGUGCGCAGGCGGUCUCGCAAGUCCGAUGUGAAAUCCCCGGGCUCAACCUGGGAACUGCGUUGGAAACUACGAGGCUGGAGUACGGCAGAGGGGGUGGAAUUCCACGUGUAGCAGUGAAAUGCGUAGAUAUGUGGAGGAACACCGAUGGCGAAGGCAGCCCCCUGGGCUAGUACUGACGCUCGAUGCACGAAAGCGUGGGGAGCAAACAGG